UACGUAGGGGGCGAGCGUUGUCCGGAAUUAUUGGGCGUAAAGAGCUUGUAGGCGGUUUGUCGCGUCUGCCGUGAAAGCCCAGGGCUUAACCCUGGGUCUGCGGUGGGUACGGGCAGACUAGAGUGUGGUAGGGGAGACUGGAAUUCCUGGUGUAGCGGUGAAAUGCGCAGAUAUCAGGAGGAACACCGAUGGCGAAGGCAGGUCUCUGGGCCACUACUGACGCUGAGAAGCGAAAGCAUGGGGAGCAAACAGG
rnacentral:rRNA from 1 species